rnacentral:rRNA from 1 species
UACGUAGGCAGCGAGCGUUGUUCGGAAUUACUGGGCGUAAAGAGUGUGUAGGCGGUGCUCUAAGUUCGGUGUGAAAUCUCCUGGCUCAACUGGGAGGGUGCGCCGGAAACCGGAGUGCUUGAGCGUGGGAGAGGAAAGCGGAAUUCCUGGUGUAGCGGUGAAAUGCGUAGAUAUCAGGAGGAACACCUGUGGUGUAGACGGCUUUCUGGACCAUAGCUGACGCUGAGACACGAAAGCGUGGGUAGCAAACAGG